CUGAAGCUCUGUGUUUACUGACACCUAAUAAGUUUCAUUUAGUCUAGAGAAAUGAAAACUAAAGUGUAUAUUCGAUAGAUUUCUUUCAAAAAAUAAUAUACAAAAAUCCUCUAUCCUGUUAAACAACAUUGUAAUCAUUAGAUCGCAGCAUCUUUUAAUAAAUGAUCUAACAAACUUUACACAGACAGCAGGAAUUUGUUUGCUGUCGAAAAUAUUACAGUUUUCAUUUGUAAGUUUUUUCGCACGCCCAAACAAAAAAGUGCCAAAAAUAUAAUCAAAAUGAAAAUAAAUCGGCUGGCGGCAUCGCAACAGGAAAAUUGGACAUGGAUGCACGGAUACACACAAUCUCAGAUACAUUUACAAACACACGAUAGCGAGCACAGACAGUGAUGUUGGCAGAUACUUUUUAGCCACUUUGACUAAAGCAAUAACAUUAGCGCUCGGCUGGCACAACUAUUUUUGGCCAAAAAAAUACAAAUUGAAAAUGUU